CAACAUUAAUUGAUAAAUUACUGUAAACAACUGUCAGCUCUCGCAAAAAACAGAUAAAUUUAAUUGAUAAACUUAAAAAAUAUAUAUAUUAUAUUCACUAAUUAAUAAUCUGAAAUUGUUUAAUUUUUUUUAUCAUAUUUUUAUGAUUUGGUAUUUGUAACAUAUAUCUUUAUUGAAGUGCUUAAAGAAUGAAUUCAAGUAUCUUCGUCUUUUUACUUAUUGGAUGUGUUGUGGCAGGUA